rnacentral:rRNA from 1 species
UACGUAGGUGGCAAGCGUUGUCCGGAUUUACUGGGCGUAAAGAGCGCGCAGGCGGUCGUUCAAGUCGCGUGUGAAAGCCCCCGGCUCAACUGGGGAGGGUCACGCGAUACUGAUCGACUCGAAGGCAGGAGAGGGUAGUGGAAUUCCCGGUGUAGUGGUGAAAUGCGUAGAUAUCGAGAGGAACACCUGCGGCGAAGGCGGGUUGCUGGGCUGACACUGACGCUGAUGCGCGAAAGCUAGGGGAGCGAACGGG